rnacentral:rRNA from 1 species
CCUACGGGGGGCUGCAGUGAGGAAUAUUGCACAAUGGGGGGAACCCUGAUGCAGCGACGCCGCGUGGGUGAAGAAGCGCCUCGGCGCGUAAAGCCCUGUCAGCAGGGAAGAAAAUGACGGUACCUGAAGAAGAAGCCCCGGCUAACUACGUGCCAGCAGCCGCGGUAAUACGUAGGGGGCAAGCGUUAUCCGGAUUUACUGGGUGUAAAGGGGGCGCAGACGGCGGUGCAAGCCAGGAGUGAAAGCCCGGGGCCCAACCCCGGGACUGCUCGUGGAACUGCGUGGCGGGAGUGCAGGAGGGGCAGGCGGAAUUCCUGGUGUAGCGGUGAAAUGCGUAGAUAUCAGGAGGAACACCGGUGGCGAAGGCAGCUUACUAAACUGCCACUGACAUUGAUGCUCGAAAGUGUGGGUAUCAAACAGGAUUAGAUACCCGGGUAGUC